rnacentral:rRNA from 1 species
GCGCCUUGCCAGCCCGCUCAGAAACUUAAAGGAAUUGACGGGGGCCCGCACAAGCGGUGGAGCAUGUGGUUUAAUUCGAUGAUACGCGAGGAACCUUACCUGGGCUCAAAUGUAUGUUGACGUAUUCUGAAAGGGAUACUUCUUCGGACAAUAUACAAGGUGCUGCAUGGUUGUCGUCAGCUCGUGUCGUGAGAUGUUGGGUUAAGUCCCGCAACGAGCGCAACCCUUGCCUUUAGUUGCCAGCAGUUCGGCUGGGCACUCUAAAGGGACUGCCGGUGUUAAACCGGAGGAAGGUGGGGAUGACGUCAAGUCCUCAUGGCCUUUAUGACCAGGGCUACACACGUACUACAAUGGCCGAUACAAAGGGCAGCGACACUGCGAGGUGAAGCCAAUCCCGUAAAAUCGGUCUCAGUCCGGAUUGGAGUCUGCAACUCGACUCCAUGAAGUUGGAAUCGCUAGUAAUCGUGGAUCAGCAUGCCACGGUGAAUACGUUCCCGGGCCUU